rnacentral:tRNA from 1 species
GGCCCGUUAGCUCAGUUGGUUAGAGCGUCGUGCUAAUAACGCGCUAGCUGUCGCGGGUCUGAUCCCUCACGGGCCA